CUUAUACGAGUAUUUCUUCGCAUCUUGGUACGUGAUACAGCACAACCCCUCGCUAUUUUCGCAUGCGGUUGGUGUAUUCACAGCUUUUUCUCAUCUUCCCUUGGUGAAGACAAUUUAAUGACGAAACUCUAUAAUGUGAAAAGAGGAAAAAGCUAUCAAGAUGCCGGCUGAACUUGACUCAUCGUCUUUUUAACAACUAAAUCUUCCGUUUGCUCACCUGUUUUGUCUUCUGAUUCGCUGGCAUCUUUGGCUGAUUGGCAAACAUCAUCGUUAUGUUCAGUGGAUUCGUGCGUGUCUGUAGAAGUUUCGCUGGGUGAUUCUGGAGGAGUUUGAGAGCCGACCGAAACAGGACUGGUACUGCUUUCUGAGUUUGUCAUUGGGUUUGGAAUGCUUAGAGGAGGGCUUGCAGAUAUUACCGGCGGCCUGUGGACCUGAGAGUUACGAUUUAGCGGGAAAAACGGCGGGGAAUAGUAAGAAGGAACACCAUAUCCAUACAUAACCGGUGAAGUGUUGAAGUAAGGAGGUGGUCGAACUCUCUGAUUUGCUUGGUAAAAGCAGUCCAUAGUACGCUCGCGCCGUUGUGCUCAAACGAGUAACUCAAAGUAGAAAUGACUAGGGCACCAGUCUGGCGAGAGCAAUAUUCGCUCUCGCUGUGGUCAUAAUUUAGUGCUGUAAUUAGAUAGCCAGAUUAAUUACAUGAUUGGCUCCUUAACAAAUAUGUGACGUCAUCGCUAUGCUGACUUGGUAAACUGCUGGCGCCGUCGAUGCUGCGCGUGCAACAGACCGAAAGAGUUGACACAAAUGGGUGAUAAAUUUAAUUAAAAGCCUUCAUAUAAUCUCUUCGUAGAUAAAUUAUAAAGGCGUGGAAAACAAAAACGGAAUAUUCGAGUUUAAUGAAAUUUAUUAUAACAAAUUUCUUAUCUCAUUCAUAUCGCAAUAAAUGUUGAUUCUCGUUUCGCAAAAAUUUCGGACGGGUGGCCUCGCUGAGCACACAAGGUCUGACAAGAAAGGUAAAUUUUUGGCACAUCAUAAUUUCAAAAAACAUGGCAUAUCAUCUGCAUUUUUGGCAAUUCAUGGUGCUACUCAAUGAGAGAGAGGAACAUCUUCAAUGCAUUAUUUAUGCAGCUUCCCAAUCUUACAACCCCCCUAAAAAAGACCGUUAUAUGGAAAUAAACAUAUUUUUGUACAGGACAGAAA